AUAUAUAUAUAUAUAUAUAUAUAUAUAUAUAUAGACACCACAUAAUCAUAACCAUAAUCUUAUACCAAAACUCAAUUUAUACCUUGUACUUGUCCUUAUAUCUCAUAACCAAAACUGAAUUUAUACUUUGUACUUGUCCGAAUCAAAAUGCGUGCAAAGCCACUCCCACUCAUCCCGCCUAUGCAAAAGAUCUCCCGGAAUCACGUCUCUCCCCCCAAGCGUGUGAAUCUCAGACAAGUCGUGCUUCCAUUCACAAAAUACACUUGCCGCCCUUUUAUUGAUCCAUUCAAUCGCUUUUAUAUCAUUAAAAUCAAUGAUAGAAAAACACUGCAAGACAUAGAAAACAAGUUAUAAUUAAGUUGCAAUGAUGCAGGGAAUCAAAAUACCAAAAAAAAGAACUGAAAAUUAUCUUAACUUACAGUGAGACCUUAAAAAAUCUUCUUCGUCUCCUCCUUGUCUAAAUCAUACCACGAUUCCUUCUUCAUUGCCACUUUUUUUUCGUAUGAUGCUUCCAAUGCUAUUGACAAACAGGUUGCAUACAUCAGAAAUUACGGGGUCCAUCAAUAACGUCUCAAUCAAAGUCCAAGUCAAUCUUCUUCCCCGUGCUUUUCACAAUAUCAGACAUCUUUGUGUUGUUCACCACACCCCGGUUGCCUUUCUGGGGUAGUCUUUCACUUUUCUUCGGUUUAUGGCAAGGAAGAAAAAAUUGAUAUUUUUGGCGAUAUAUCGCCGAAAAUUUCGUUUUUAUCACCAGGCAAAAUAUCUUUCUCUUCCCAGAAUUUUUUGUCCGAAAUUUUCGAUAUUUCGCGAUAUUUUCCCGAAACUUUGAAAUCUCACCGCGUUUCCCGUUGAAAUCAAGUUUUGUACAUUCCAGCCCAAACCUCCCCCAUGUGCCGAACUCUGACUCCAUCUCCCCCACGCCCCAUGUGCCGAACUCUGACUCUUUGACUUUGACAGUUUGACCACGCAAAAUGCUAAAAUUUAGCAGCAGCCAAGGUGAUUCAAACCUUGGUUGGGUUGGUGCAAGGUUAACACCUUAACCAACCCAACUAACUAUGCAACUUGUAUACUAUGGUAUCUUUAUGAUAUAUAUUAGUUUUUUUUUCCGAAUCUGAAAAGUAAAAAAUUAGGUAAAUGUCUAAUUCCCAACUAAUUUUUUUACCUACACUUCUAUAAAUAAAAAAAACUUUUUUACCUACACUUCUUAUUUCAUUUUUAAAGGUUAGGUAUCAUUUAAUGACUAUUCUUCACAAUACACUGAAGACUCUACACAAAGAGACGAUAAAGAUAAUGAAAAUUUUGUACCUCAUAGGUCUUCUACGUGGUUUUAAAGUACUUAUGUAAUUUCAUGUGAAAUAUAUCAUAUGUAUAUAAGGCGUGAUGACAUACCCUCUUUUUGGGUUUCCAGCCAUCAAAGAAAAAAAAAUGUUUAAAGUAAACUUUUAAGAAUUAUUAACGGUUCAGCACUAACAUUUUUAACUUAGCUUACUACAACUCUCUAUAGAUCAAUGUUUAUUCAAGAUUUUCAUUUCAAAUAUAGUACAUAAUAUAGAAAACAAACAUCUCUUAAAGUUUGGUUUAAAAUUUCCUUGUUUUUCUUUAAAUUUCUGUCAAUUUUUUUAUUUUU
rnacentral:lncRNA from 1 species